GAAUGCCUUUCGAUCUGUCUAAUUCACCCGCCAGUUUUCAGCGGUUGAUGGAUACAGUGUUGGGAAAUGCGAAGUACAAUUUCGCAAUGGCAUACAUGGAUGAUGUCGUAGUGUUUUCUAGAAACUUUCAGGAACACUUGGAACACCUGCCAACCGUCCUUGCAAGGAUGAACGAAGCGGGCAUAACGAUCAACCCCCGCAAGGUGCAGCUGGCAUCGUCUAAGAUCAGCCUUCUCGGCUUUGUGGUGGACGGAGGUACCAUCCGUCCCAACGACAAGCUAAAGGCGAUCAUGGAGUUUCCGGUUCCCGGUAACAUCAAAGUCUUGCAGCGCUUCCUAGCCGCUUAACCAGUUGUUGCGCAAGGACAGGAGCCGGAAUUGGGGAGAAGAGCAGGGACGAUCAUUUCGUGCUCUAUCACAAGCAAUCGCUGAUACGGCUAGACUUUAUCUGCCAGACCUCAACAAACCAUUCGUUGCGCAAACAGAUGCAAGCAAUAUGGAGUUUGCGCAGUUCUCUUGCAGGAGCAUGACCCUAUUCUUGGUCCAGUGGCUUUUGCAAGUCGCACGCUGAAUCCGGCAGAACGGAACUACUCAGUCACGGAAAAGGAGUGAUUUGCGAUCAUCUUCGCUUUCAGGAAGUUCGACCUGUGCCUGGACGGCAGUGCCUUCGCUGUCAUGACCCAGUAUACAAUUAAUAUCCCCAGGACAUACCUACAAGGUCGCUAACGUCCUGAAUAUCCGGAUAUCCAUGCGAUACUCAUGGGACGUUCCAGAACGACAUUCGCGUUUCGGUUUUACUCAGUAAAUACCUGAUGUCCCAGGUACAUCCGCAAGAUAUCGUGCUUUGGAUGUUUGGAAGGAAGAAGUAGCCUGAAGAUCCCAGAGAUAUCCAUGGAUGGAACGUCACAGGAACGUCCCCAGGACGUCGUUUAGAGAUAUACGAAUAAAUUUGUGACAUCUUGCUCUGACA